UACGUAGGGUGCAAGCGUUGUCCGGAAUUAUUGGGCGUAAAGAGCUCGUAGGCGGCCUGUCGCGUCGGCUGUGAAAACCCGGGGCUCAACCCCGGGCCUGCAGUCGAUACGGGCAGGCUAGAGUCCGGCAGGGGAGACUGGAAUUCCAGGUGUAGCGGUGAAAUGCGCAGAUAUCAGGAGGAACACCGGUGGCGAAGGCGGGUCUCUGGGCCGGAACUGACGCUAAGGAGCGAAAGCGUGGGGAGCGAACAGG
rnacentral:rRNA from 1 species